rnacentral:rRNA from 1 species
CUCGUAGGCGGUUCGUCGCGUCCGGUGCGAAAGUCCAUCGCUUAACGGUGGAUCCGCGCCGGGUACGGGCGGGCUUGAGUGCGGUAGGGGAGACUGGAAUUCCCGGUGUAACGGUGGAAUGUGUAGAUAUCGGGAAGAACACCAAUGGCGAAGGCAGGUCUCUGGGCCGCCACUGACGCUGAGGAGCGAAAGCUAGGGGAGCGAACA